rnacentral:rRNA from 1 species
GUACAGAGGGUGCAAGCGUUUAAUCGGAAUUACUGGGCGUAAAGCGUGCGUAGACGGUUAUUUAAGUCGGGUGUGAAAGCCCCGGGCUCAACCUGGGAAUUGCAUUCGAGACUGAAUAGCUAGGGUGCGGAAGAGGGAAGCGGAAUUUCCGGUGUAGCGGUGAAAUGCGUAGAUAUCGGAAGGAACACCAGUGGCGAAAGCGGCUUCCUGGUCCAGCACCGACGUUCAGGCACGAAAGCGUGGGGAGCAAACAGG